GUUAAAACACCGGUUUUCGUCUGAUCUCUGAAGUUAAGCAACGUUGAGUCGGGUCAGUACCUUGAUGGGUAACUGCUUAGGAAUACCAGAUGAUGUAAG